AAGUCGUAACAAGGUUUCCGUAGGUGAACCUGCGGAAGGAUCAUUAAAGUGUUUCGGAGCCUGGUACGGGCAUCUCGAAUUCGAGGUGUCGGUGUCAGCGCCCCCACACGUGUUUACUCAACUUGGUUGCCUUGGUGAGCCUGCCCUUGUGGCUGCCGGGGAUGCCUCACGGUGUCCCGGGCUCGUGCUCACCAGUGGAACAUUUGAACUCUUACCUGAAAAUAGUCAGUCUGAGCAUUAUGCAAAUUAAAUAAAACUUUCAACAACGGAUCUCUUGGUUCCG
rnacentral:misc_RNA from 1 species